GACGAACGCUGGCGGCGUGCUUACACAUGCAAGUCGAACGGAAAGGCCCUGCUUUUGUGGGGUGCUCGAGUGGCGAACGGGUGAGUAACACGUGAGUAACCUGCCCUUGACUUUGGGAUAACUUCAGGAAACUGGGGCUAAUACCGGAUAGGGGCUCCUGCUGCAUGGUGGGGGUUGGAAAGUUUCGGCGGUUGGGGAUGGACUCGCGGCUUAUCAGCUUGUUGGUGGGGUAGUGGCUUACCAAGGCUUUGACGGGUAGCCGGCCUGAGAGGGUGACCGGCCACAUUGGGACUGAGAUACGGCCCAGACUCCUACGGGAGGCAGCAGUGGGGAAUAUUGCACAAUGGGCGGAAGCCUGAUGCAGCAACGCCGCGUGCGGGAUGACGGCCUUCGGGUUGUAAACCGCUUUCGCCUGUGACGAAGCGUGAGUGACGGUAAUGGGUAAAGAAGCACCGGCUAACUACGUGCCAGCAGCCGCGGUGAUACGUAGGGUGCGAGCGUUGUCCGGAUUUAUUGGGCGUAAAGGGCUCGUAGGUGGUUGAUCGCGUCGGAAGUGUAAUCUUGGGGCUUAACCCUGAGCGUGCUUUCGAUACGGGUUGACUUGAGGAAGGUAGGGGAGAAUGGAAUUCCUGGUGGAGCGGUGGAAUGCGCAGAUAUCAGGAGGAACACCAGUGGCGAAGGCGGUUCUCUGGGCCUUUCCUGACGCUGAGGAGCGAAAGCGUGGGGAGCGAACAGGCUUAGAUACCCUGGUAGUCCACGCUGUAAACGGUGGGUACUAGGUGUGGGGUCCAUUCCACGGGUUCCGUGCCGUAGCUAACGCUUUAAGUACCCCGCCUGGGGAGUACGGCCGCAAGGCUAAAACUCAAAGGAAUUGACGGGGCCCCGCACAAGCGGCGGAGCAUGCGGAUUAAUUCGAUGCAACGCGUAGAACCUUACCUGGGUUUGACAUGGAUCGGGAGUGCUCAGAGAUGGGUGUGCCUCUUUUGGGGUCGGUUCACAGGUGGUGCAUGGCUGUCGUCAGCUCGUGUCGUGAGAUGUUGGGUUAAGUCCCGCAACGAGCGCAACCCUUGUUCACUGUUGCCAGCACGUUAUGGUGGGGACUCAGUGGAGACCGCCGGGGUCAACUCGGAGGAAGGUGGGGAUGACGUCAAGUCAUCAUGCCCCUUAUGUCCAGGGCUUCACGCAUGCUACAAUGGCUGGUACAGAGAGUGGCGAGCCUGUGAGGGUGAGCGAAUCUCGGAAAGCCGGUCUCAGUUCGGAUUGGGGUCUGCAACUCGACCUCAUGAAGUCGGAGUCGCUAGUAAUCGCAGAUCAGCAACGCUGCGGUGAAUACGUUCCCGGGGCU
rnacentral:rRNA from 1 species